rnacentral:tRNA from 1 species
AGCAGCAUAUGUCCGGCUCUGCCCUCCGAAGGCAGAGGUCACAGGUUCGAAUCCUGUCGGGUGCACCA